rnacentral:lncRNA from 1 species
UUGUUAAAAAUGGUAUGUGCUUGAAGAUUGGAGCUCGAAGAACAUAAGAUUUGCCUCGGCACAUGUUAAGUUGACGAACUGAUCAUCAGUUAGAAGCCGAUACUUGAAAAGCUAAGUUGUCUAUUCUUGAGCUAAAUGUUAACUUUCUGAAUUUCUAUUUCUAUGUUAGUACUUCUACCUCAUCUCUACCAAACAUUACUUUUGAAGUAACUCCACCAUGCAACUUAAUAAAAUUAAAGAUUAGCUACUAACCCUAUCAUGAAAUUAUUUAGAGUUGAGGUAGAGGUACGGACCUAGAAAAUAGAAAUUGGGAGAGUGAACAAAAUAUAGUUUGAUGACUGUUAAUUAGAAAUAUAAAAUUUAUUAAACUCUAAUUUGUUAAAAGUGGUAUGUGCUUGAAGAUUGGAGCUCGAAGAACAUAAGAUUUGCCUCGACACAUGUUAAGAUGAUGAACUGAUCAUUAGUUAGAAGCCGAUACUUGAAAAGCUAAGUAGCUAAUUUUUAAUUUUAUUAAGUUGCAUGCUAGGGUUCAUUCAAA